GAAUUGUUGGGGUCUGGUGACCCAGUUGAGCCCAACAUGGCUUUCCUAUAGCACCCCCUCUGCUUUCUCCAAUGUUCAGAUAAGAUGUCAGUGAUUAAUGUCUAAUGUUGCAGUCACAGGCCCCCAGGCCCUCGAACAUCACAGGACCGGUUGACAGAGUGUCCAAGAAACACUUCAGAACAGAAUGGAAUUCAGCACACUAGGGACCAGUGGGGAAAGUGGGGAUUCCCCCAUCUCACGAAGGAUGGCUUCCAAACAGUGUGACCCUGUCCAGGCCCUUCCUGCCCCAUGAGGUAGCCAUGAUGGUUCAUCCUGUGAACUCUGGUAUGAAGAUGGCUUCAGUACCAACCAGUCUGGUCUCUAGACUGUGGAAUAAGGGCUCAAAGAACCUUGGAUUAGAUUCCUUCUUGACCCUGCGUGUUGGUGUGUUAAUCAUUUGAGGCUGUCUGUCUCAACACGAGUGAUAAAAGAUUGGCUUUUCUCCAAACUGACGUAGCCUUUCUCAACUCACCUCGAGACGGAAGACAUCAAAAAAGCGUGACUAAAGUGUUUCAUUGCUCUCUUUUACAACAUCCUGUGCCAUGAUCCCUGGAAAGAAGGCAUUGCCCAAAACCCCAGGUCAUCAUGUAUUCCAGGAACAGUGAGCUCAGACCGACCAGCACAUGCGUCCCUUCGUAAGUUCUCUGGUAUGGACGUCACUAAAUUAGAAUCUCAAACAGCCUAAGUGUAUGCUAUCCUCAGCCCUGAGGUGAGCUACCAGCUAUCCCCACCGCUGGCAGACAGGCCAAAUGAGCAGGAAGGAAACCAAUCUGCAAGGACAACUGCACCGAUAGAACGGCAUGUAUUCACAGCACGCAUAGAGGCAUUCAACUGGGGUAAUCAGUUUUCAGUCUAACAUUCUGUCUAGUUAUAAUGGGAAUUGGAAAAUUAACAAGCACAAUAGUGAUUUUAUGACUGCAUGCUUUUAAUGAACAUGAACAAAUUUUAUCUUUUUGUAUUAUACUAUACUUCUAACAAUAUUUACUGAAAUAUAAUUUUAUUUGCUGUCUCUAAAAUUAACUUUUAAGAUUGGGAUUGUACUUUAUGUGCCUUUUAUUUGUUUAUUUUUUCCUUAUAAAAGUAUUAAGUUCAUGACAGAUUGGAAAUAAGAAAGAUCUGUACAUGGGCUGGGAAACAGAAAUGCGCGCGCAGCAGUCAAGCUGGCUCCUUCCCUGGGGUGAGAUGGGCCUAGCUCUAAGGUAUGCACAUUUCUUGUUCUUAGAAUUUAAUUGUAUAUUGACACAGUGCAUUUUAUAUGAAGACAUAAAACGUUAGUUCAGGAAAAUUAUUGUUUCUAUGGGAACGAAUCUGAACACUUGAAUGAUUUAGAAUAGUUCAAUACAACUGAACUAUGGAAAUAAUUGCUAUUAUAUUCAGUGUGCGGCAGAGAUGGCAGGAACUAAAAGGCGAAAUGAAAACCUGGGAUUUUGCCAUCAAGGUAUUUCACAAGUGUCUUAGGGUUCUUGUCCUAUGAUUCAGGAGUUGAACAGGAUUUUUCUAUUCUUUUUAUCUAUCUGUCUGUCUGUCUAUCUAUCUAUCUAUCUAUCUAUCUAUCUAUCUAUCUAUCUAUCUAUGUAGAGGCAAGUUCCUUAAACCAUCUACAUAGCCCAGCCUGGCCUGGAAUUUAUAUGCCUACGCCUUAGGGUAUUAGUGUUCUCAUAGAACUUUGAAACAACGCAAACUGAAAGUGGGCAGACUUCACUCUGUUGUUGUUGUGGUUUAUGUAAAAAUCAACACAGAAAACUCUUACUUCUGCAAAACAGAUAUGAAUGUAACAUUUUUUAAAGUAUGUAUUUGUGUGUGUGUGUGUGUGUGUGUGUGUGUGUGUGAUGUGUGUUUGUCUGCAUGGAUACAUGUGCACCACACGCUUGAAGUGUCUGCAGAGGCCAGAAGGGGGCACCAGACCCCUGGAGUUGAAGUUACAGAUGGCCAUGAGAGCUUCUCAGCAAGAGCAGGUGCUCAGAACAGCUGAGCCACCUCUCCAGCCUUAAAUGUGACAUUCUUUACUUUUCUCCACUUUGAAUAAGAGAUCAGCUGCUUGUCCUAACAGCCCAGACAAAAGAGUUCAUACUGUAAAUACAAAAUUCCAUAUAGAAUAUCCAGGAGAUUCUGGUCCCCUGGCUCACACUGAGAUAUAAAUGGUUAGGCGAUAAAAGACAAAAUACAAUGUAUGGGGAGAGCCGUACCAAUCAAGGAAGCAUAAGGAAUCCGAAAAGAGAUCCUGACCAAAGAAAGACAAUUGUUUUCUUUGUGAAACUGCAAGCUGAGUAUGUUCCUAGACAAGGACCCAGAACCAAAAUUUCCUUGUCGUCUUUCAUUGGAGCCUCUGAGAAAGUCUCGGGUCUGUCUGUCUCCCCACAGAUUAUGCUGAGUGUGUCAAUUUCUGGGGGCAGGAGGAAGCUAGGAUUCUGAUAGUAAUUGCAUUGCUUCUGUAGCAUGAUUAGGGGAACUCCAUCAUUUUAAUAAGAUUGUCUUCAAGUUCAUGAAUAUGGGCUAUCAUUAUAUUUACUUAACUUUUCUUUAAUUUCUUUCCAUUUCUCUUUUAGUUUUCAGUAUCCAAAUCUUGUACUUCAUUUUAAAAUUAAUUUUAGAGUCAGCAUACAGAGUAGUGGACUUAGGUAUAGCAUUUUUGUGCGUAUGCAUCAUUAUGACUUGUUCAGAGCCAUUUCCCUCUCCUGCUGUCCUCUCCUGUGUCCUCUGCUUCCCCUCUGGCUGCUUCUCCUCCACCCUUCAAGGAGUUCUCACUUCUGCUUUUGUGCCACGUGUA